UCCCAGUGUCCAACUGGUCUGUAUUUAGUUUCAUUUGAAGGAGACUCCCUCAAUAACUACAAAAAGAAGCAUCUGUUAUUCCAUGUAAGAAUAAGUGCUUUACUUUGGGACUGCCUUGCUGGUGUUUGUUCAUCAGUGGGUUUGUCCAUUGACUUGAUUACAGCAGAAUCCAAAUUUAAACACUUGAAGGUGCUGUUUUUUCCAAAGUUUUGGGAUGGUAAUCAUUGAUUUUGUGCAUGAUGUGUUUCUAUGCUUUAACAAGGACUGUCAUAAUGUUCUUCUUUCAGAAAACAUUAUAAUAGUUGAAUUUGCAUGAAAUGCUUUAAAUGUGUGAAAACUCCACCCAUGCUCAAGAAUGCUGAGGCAUUCCAAAGAUAUUAACAGGGCAAUCAAAGAUUAAUGGCCUUUCAAAACUACCCAAGUACCAACGACCACAGCAAAGCCAAAGAGCCAUAGACAUAUUUAUAAUGGGUGCUGUUAACAAAACUGCUCAGAUCAGCUCACCUUGACUGCAGGCAGCAUGCUCCUGGUAUCUCUGGCUGGAAAUGUCCUCAUCUGAUUCCACAGACUUGUAGUCUUCGAAAUGGAAAAUAUUUUGAUUUGUCACUAUCGGUA